rnacentral:sRNA from 1 species
AGCAGGGGGAGGUCUGAAGCCUGAGUAUGAUGCGGUGGUGAUAGGAGCAGACAGGCACCUGGGAUUCCAGUGCUGGCUCUACUGUGUGGCCUGGGGCAAAUGCUUGCCUUCUCUGGGCUUGGAUCUUCCCAUGGAGAAUGACAGAGGAAGACUAGAGGGCCCCAGAUGCAUGAUUGCCAACUAGGUCUAUACAGAGAUAAAGCAGACGGCACUCAACAUGCAGCUUUGAGGGCAUGUCUUCAUUUUCGUAUGCACUAGAGCAGUUGCGAGCUGGUAGAUACUCAACAGUCAUCUCUCCAGGGAAAAAUGUGUGAUGUAUGUGUGUGUGUACGUGUAUAUAUGUAUAUGUAUAUAUACACACAUAUGUGUAUAUAUGUAUAUGUAUAUAUGUAUGUAUGUAUAUACAUCCAUACAUACACAUACACACAUGCCUAUUUUAAAUAUUGAAAUAAAAGAUACACUGCACACAGUUUUACAAAUAAAGAUAUAAUACUCUCAAUUUAAA